rnacentral:lncRNA from 1 species
AGACGACUAGUUUUGUAAUGGGGGAAGGAGAGGGAGGUCUGACACAAAGACACGCAGAGAAGGCAGCCAUGUGAAGACAAGGCAAAGAUUGGAGUUCCUUAGCAAGAAACCAAGGAACACCCACGGUUGGCAGAAGCCACCAAAACCCAGGAGAGAGGCGUGGGAGAGACUCUCCUGUAGAGCCUCCAGUGGGAACCAACCCUGCCGCACCUUGACUUCAGACUUCUGGUCUCCAGAAUUGUGACGGAAUAAAUUUCUGUUGUUUUG